UCCAUGCCAAGAAUUUCCAUAUCCACAGCAAAGUUAGCGUCUGGAAGAACGAGGGGGCACGGCGGCUCUCCAGCUGGAGCUCCAGUCUUGCAGGCCAACACCCAGGGACUACAUACGCUGGUUCCCUGCACCCAUCAGCCACCAAUGAUGGUUAGCCCACACUCUGAGUCUCAGCAAGAACCAGUCCAGCCAUCUUCACCUCUCUGAUGCCCCACAUCGCCAGGAGGCCUGAGAUCCCAAGGAGAAACGACCGCUGGGAAGCCCGAUGGGGGAGGAAACCCGAGCCAAGCCACACGUGGGAGACAGGAGGAAGAUGAGGAGGCACAGAAAGUGAGAAGAAGGAGCCCACCUCACCCCCCCGCGCCGCUCGUGAGCCCCUGUCCAGCUCUGACCAUGGCCACCAGGACUGACGUGCCUUGAGCCCAGCCUCCGGCCAC